rnacentral:lncRNA from 1 species
GGAAAGGUCAGGAAGGUUUUGUUCUCCCCAUCUUUAAAACAAAUUCUUUUGGAUUUUCUUGUGGCUGUGUGCUCCAGAGACUUUUCUGGCCUGUAGUCAGUGUGUUGGGAGAAAGGAAAUGGAAACAUGGCUGCAUUGAGCACCUUCUUUUUUUUGUUUCCUACCCAGUUUUCUUCAUCAGAGUGAGUUCUACACAAUUGUUUUGCACUUCCCUUGCUUUAAUCAUCUCGCAAUGCUUCUUUAAUGGAGCCAAAGGCCACAAGAAAUCUGAAAUCAGCUCUUAGGGGGGUUUUAAGAAUGUCUUCUGGGUGCCAUAUUUAAUUUGUGGCAAUUACUAGAAGAUUUCUGCUACAACAAAAAGCCAUUAUCUCAUUAGUAACAGGAAGAUCAGGAAAAGGUCUGGCCUGCUUCUCAGUGAAGAGGAAGAGCUCGCUACAGAUGAUACUGAAGAACUGGACAUCUGGUGCCUCUUCUGCUUUGGUCCUCACUGGAAAAGACAGGGGGAACAGAUGGCUUGUACAGCUAACACAAGCAGCAAAGGAAUAAGGAGGAAAACCUGUUUCCUCAGAAUUCACUGUGGAACUGACUAGAAGAAUGUGAUGGUCCUGGUGACCCAUCCCAGAGACCUACCUGGAUAGCUGUGGGAAGGCCGCAAAGGCAGAUAUCCAGAAGCACUGUUCAUUCAGAUGGAUUAAAUGAAGGCACUGGUCUGCUAGCCUGAAUACAUUGGAUUUCUGUUCAUCUGUUACUGAUAGCAG